rnacentral:rRNA from 1 species
GACGAACGCUGGCGGCGUGCCUGACACAUGCAAGUCGGACGGUUCUUGCACCUUCAAGCUUGCUUGUUGGUUCAAGGAUAGUGGCGGACGGGUGAGUAACGCGUGAACACCUACCCAUUGGAGGGGUACAACCCGUCGAAAGGCGGGCUAAUACCGCGUAAGCCGUGAGGUGAAAGGCUGCUCUUUGGUGGCUGCCGAUGGAUGGGUUCGCGUCCUAUCAGCUGGUUGGUGGGGUAACGGCCUACCAAGGCUAAGACGGGUAGCCGGUCUGAGAGGAUGGCCGGCCACACUGGAACUGAGACACGGUCCAGACUCCUACGGGAGGCAGCAGUGGGGAAUCUUGGGCAAUGGGGGAGACCCUGACCCAGCGACGCCGCGUGAGGGAUGAAGGUUUUCGGAUCGUAAACCUCUGUUGUACGGGAAGAAGGAUGUGACGGUACCGUACGAGUAAGCCCCGGAAACUACGUG